rnacentral:misc_RNA from 1 species
GAAACCUCACAGCGGGAAACGAGUUAUAGACGAGUUCCAGAUGAACCAGAGCUCGAUCUAUACACCAUUCCAAGUCACUCCAGUUGGUUUUCGUGGGACGAAAUUCACGAAACGGAGAAAUUAGCUUUGAAGGAGUUUUUUGAUGGAAGCUCAAUAUCAAGAACGCCGCGCAUAUAUAAAGGAUAUAGAGAUUUUAUUAUCAAUAAGUACAGGGAAGAGCCUU